rnacentral:piRNA from 1 species
UACCUUGUGGAAUGGGACCUUUGGUGU